ACCAGUUCCACCUCCCAAUGAGUGGCACACCUGAAAUUAUGAGAAUAUGACAAAUAAAACAAAUGGUUUAUAUACACAACAAAAACAAUUCACUAUCUUCAUCAACAACAAAAACAAUUUCAACCUGUCUGAUUAAAUAAAGACAAAAACACACUAUUAAUUUCAAAGAAGGUAAGAAAAUAAAAGCGGUCCGGAGAAAAUAAACCAUUAAAUCUCAAAGAAAAUGGGAUAUCCAAAACCUCUUUGAACAAGCCUGUCAGAAUCAUAAUGCAAAGAUUGUCACAUGCAAUUGAAUCUCAACCCAAAACUUAUUCUCAGAAGUUAGCUAACUAAGAUUUUACAAGGACUGAAACGAACAAAGGUCUAAUAUAGAAGCCGAUACAGAGUUCAAAAUUCGCUGAAGUAUAUUCUAGAUUAGAGAAGCCGAUACAAAUCGCACUCAAAUCCACAAAUCUUCCAAAAUAUAGACCAAAAAAUAAGUACUAAUACCAAUGCAUAUGUGAUAGAAAAAAAAGCUCAACCUACCAAUAGAUUUAGGGAUGGAGAAACAUACUUAUGCGUAAAAACAAAAGUUCAGGUCAUAAUCUCUACUAGACUAUGUCCUAAUCUAAAAGAACAAAAACAUCACUUAAACCUUUCAAUUAGAGGCAUUGGUGGAGGCACUGCAGUAACAGAAAAUGAAGACGAAGAACAAGCAGUCCAAAUGAAUAAAUAUUUACCACUUCAAUAGAGGCACAGUAUUAGCAAACAAUAUUUUCCAGCAUCAUCUUUCCAUCAAAUUGCAUCAAUAAAUCAUCAUUCAUCAUUAAAAGGAAUAGUCAAAGAUAAGUAGUCUCCAUCACUUGGUUUAAGGAUCACAGAUUACACGCAUAUGUGCAUUCUCUA
rnacentral:lncRNA from 1 species